UCCCAAUAUAAAUAUAAGCCGGAUAAUACAAACACACAUUUAAAAUUCAAAGAUCUUGGCGGUGUCUUAUGCAAACAGGGGAACCUGUCCCUUAAUUCGAUAAUCCACGAACGAUCAGCCUUAUCUAGAACAAACAGCCUGUGUACUGCCGUCGCAAGUAUGCCUUAAAGAGAAAGCAUACAACACUACAACCUAAGGACGUCAGGUCAAAGUGCAGCCAAUGAUAAGGAGGAGAUGGGUUACACAUUCCACAAAAACAACCGACAACCACACUUAAGGUGGACAAAAGCUGGACUUGUCAGUAAUUAUUCAACUGCAAAAUAAUGAACAGAACUCUAAGACAUGUACACAUCGCCCGUCACUCUCGUCGAAAGAUG
rnacentral:rRNA from 1 species